ACGCUUCGCUAUGCGGGGUCUUGCGGGCGUUCUUCGGGUGCUUCUUGAGCUUGUUGAGUGGGAUGAAAACCGUCGCGCCAUUGUCGAUGACGGGAGCGGUGUUUGCGUUGGUGGUCAUGGUCUUUCUCCUAUGGGCUUGGGUUGGAGCGCAGCGCUGCGCUGCAACCCUGGCCGUCGCCGAGACCGGGUGUGCAAACGGAGGGGUGGCUUCGCGGGGAACCGGCUGCAGGGAGCGCAGCGACCGAAGCUGGGCGGAAGCCCACUCCGAAGUGCGCCGAGGGCUGGCCCUAAGCCCGCUGCCCGGCGUGAGCGCCAGCG
rnacentral:misc_RNA from 1 species